rnacentral:rRNA from 1 species
AGUAACACGUGAGCAACCUGCCUUUCAUGGGGGACGAACAUUUGGUAAACGGAAAUGCUAAUAACCGCAUAAGACCACAGUGUCGCAUGGCACAGGGGUCAAAGGAUUUAUCCGCUGAAAGAUGGGCUCGCGUCCGAUUAGCUAGAUGGUGAGGUAACGGCCCACCAUGGCGACGAUCGGUAGCCGGACUGAGAGGUUGAACGGCCACAUUGGGACUGAGACACGGCCCAGACUCCUACGGGAGGGCAGCAUG